rnacentral:rRNA from 1 species
GACGAACGCUGGCGGCGUGCUUAACACAUGCAAGUCGAACGGAAAGGCCCUGCUUUUGUGGGGUGCUCGAGUGGCGAACGGGUGAGUAACAAGGGAGUAACCUGCCCUUGACUUUGGGAUAACUUCAGGAAACUGGGGCUAAUACCGGAUAGGAGCUCCUGCUGCAUGGGGGGGGGUGGAAAGUUUCGGCGGUUGGGGAUGGACUCGCGGCUUAUCAGCUUGUUGGUGGGGUAGUGGCUUACCAAGGCUUUGACGGGUAGCCGGCCUGAGAGGGUGACCGGCCACAUUGGGACUGAGAUACGGCCCAGACUCCUACGGGAGGCAGCAGUGGGGAAUAUUGCACAAUGGGCGGAAGCCUGAUGCAGCAACGCCGCGUGCGGGAUGACGGCCUUCGGGUUGUAAACCGCUUUCGCCUGUGACGAAGCGUGAGUGACGGUAAUGGGUAAAGAAGCACCGGCUAACUACGUG